rnacentral:lncRNA from 1 species
GGAAAAUGAAGUUGCAGUAAAAAAGAUUUUGCUCCUAAGACUGAACAUGCCAAGCAGGGUAAUGCUCAUUGAUGCUGAACUAUUGAAUGAGCCACUGACGGCAAAGGAAAGAAGGUCCUACGGAAACAGAGGAAAUGUGGAUGUUUGUGUCAUAUACAGAAAAUUUGGCCUGGCCUGCAUGCCAGAUGAUAUCCUUCCAUCUGGUAAGGCUGAAGAUGCUGAGAACAAGGAUAGAAGGAAAGGGACCAUACCCCAGUUAGAUCUAGGCACAGGUGGAGAUCACUACAUGCCAGGCUGCAUUCUUUCAUAGCAUCUGAAUCAUUCGUACUGUCUCCACAAGCUGAAAAUGAGAAACAGACUGGCAGGAAAGUUAAAAUUUUCAAGGUGGAAAGAGCAGGGAAUAACCUGUUUUGGGGUUGGGGUUUUUUUUUAGAUUAAA